rnacentral:rRNA from 1 species
CACGUAGGGGGCGAGCGUUGUUCGGAAUUAUUGGGCGUAAAGGGUGCGCAGGCGGUUUUACAAGUCUGAUGUUAAAGGCCAGAGCUUAACUUUGGAAAUGCAUUGGAAACUGUAAGACUAGAGUAGCUGAGGGGAAGACGGAAUUCCUAGUGUAGGGGUGAAAUCUGUAGAUAUUAGGAAGAACACCGAUGGCGAAGGCAGUCUUCUGGCAGCAAACUGACGCUGAGGCACGAAAGUGCGGGGAUCAAACAGG